AAGUCGUAACAAGGUUUCCGUAGGUCGCUACAGUUCAGCCUACUAAAGCAAACCUUUUAAAACUGCUAGUCUCUCUCCGAGGCGACACGCUCAAUGUUGCGGAGAGGCCCUCUUUUCAGAGGGUAAUCCGCAGCCGGCUCCCUAAAGGCUGGUUCAGAGACUCAAUGAGUGUGGGUUUGGCCUUUUGGCCAGGCUUAAGAUAGAGCCCGUCCCUGUAGGCAACUGCGGGGGAUGAACGGAACCUGCGGAAGGAUCAUUAAAGAAUCGGUGACCCUCGCGGUCCCAUUCUCACCCUUUGUAUACCAAACUUCAGUUGCUUUGGCUGGCCUUCGCGGGCCGGCCAGAGGACUCAAACCCUUGAAUCUUUGCUGUCUGAGUACUAUAUAAUAGUUAAAACUUUCAACAACGGAUCUCUUGGUUCUGGCAUCGAUGAAGAACGCAGCGAAAUGCGAUAAGUAAUGUGAAUUGCAGAAUUCAGUGAAUCAUCGAAUCUUUGAACGCACAUUGCGCCNUCUGGUAUUCCGGGGGGGCAUGCCUGUUCGAGCGUCAUUACAACCCUCAAGCUUAGCUUGGUAUUGGGCUCGCCCUUCGUAGGCCUGCCUCAAAAUCAGUGGCGGCUCCGUCCAGUCUCAAGCGCAGUAAUACUCGUCGCUUGUUAGGCUUGGUCAGCGGUUUGCUAGCAACCCCCCCAAUUUUACAAGGUUGACCUCGGAUCANGUAGGGAUACCCGCUGNACUUAAGCAUAUCNAUAAGCGGAGGAAAAGAAACCAACAGGGAUUGCCUCAGUAACGGCGAGUGAAGCGGCAACAGCUCAAAUUUGAAAGCUGGUACUUUUAGUGCCCGCGUUGUAAUUUGUAGAGGAUGUUUCGGGUGCGGUGCCGGUCUAAGUUCUUUGGAACAAGACGUCAUAGAGGGUGAGAAUCCCGUAUGUGACUGGUUGCCUGUGCCCAUGUGAAACUCCUUCGACGAGUCGAGUAGUUUGGGAAUGCUGCUCAAAAUGGGAGGUGUAUUUCUUCUAAGGCUAAAUAUUGGCCAGAGACCGAUAGCGCACAAGUAGAGUGAUCGAAAGAUGAAAAGCACUUUGGAAAGAGAGUUAAACAGUACGUGAAAUUGUUGAAAGGGAAGCGCUUGCAAUCAGACUUGCGCGGCGUCGAUCAGCCUGGGUUCUCCCUGGUGUACUCGGCGUCGCUCAGGCCAGCAUCAGUUUCGGCGGUGGGAUAAAGGCUUAGGGAACGUGGGUUGCUUCGGUGACCGUUAUAGCCCUAGGUGCAAUGCCGCCUGUCGGGACUGAGGACCGCGCUUCGGCUAGGAUGCUGGCGUAAUGGUUGUAAGCGACC
rnacentral:rRNA from 1 species